rnacentral:rRNA from 1 species
GACAGAGGGUGCAAACGUUGUUCGGAAUUACUGGGCGUAAAGCGAGUGUAGGCGGUUCGAUAAGUCGGAUGUGAAAGCCCCGGGCUCAACCCGGGAAGUGCACUCGAUACUGUCGAGCUAGAGUAUCGGAGAGGUUGGUGGAAUUCUCGGUGUAGAGGUGAAAUUCGUAGAUAUCGGGAGGAAUACCAGUGGCGAAGGCGGCGACCUGGGCCAAUACUGACGCUGAGGUGCGAAAGCGUGGGGAGCAAACAGG